rnacentral:rRNA from 1 species
CCUACGGGGGGCAGCAGUGGGGAAUAUUGGACAAUGGGGGCAACCCUGAUCCAGCCAUGCCGCGUGUGUGAAGAAGGCCCUCGGGUUGUAAAGCACUUUCAGUGAGGAAGAACGCCUGGUGGUUAAUACCCAUCAGGAAAGACAUCACUCACAGAAGAAGCACCGGCUAACUCCGUGCCAGCAGCCGCGGUAAUACGGAGGGUGCGAGCGUUAAUCGGAAUUACUGGGCGAAAAGCGCGCGUAGGUGGCUUGAUAAGCCGGUUGUGAAAGCCCCGGGCUCAACCUGGGAACGGCAUCCGGAACUGUCAAGCUAGAGUGCAGGAGAGGAAGGUAGAAUUCCCGGUGUAGCGGUGAAAUGCGUAGAGAUCGGGAGGAAUACCAGUGGCGAAGGCGGCCUUCUGGACUGACACUGACACUGAGGUGCGAAAGCGUGGGUAGCAAACAGGAUUAGAUACCCUAGUAGUC